rnacentral:rRNA from 1 species
GAUGAACGCUGGCUACAGGCUUAACACAUGCAAGUCGAGGGGAAACGACGGGGAAGCUUGCUUCUCCGGGCGUCGACCGGCGCACGGGUGAGUAACGCGUAUCCAACCUGCCUCUGACUGAGGGAUAACCCGUCGAAAGUCGGCCUAAUACCCCUUGGUAUCGCCUGCGGGCAUCCAACGACGAUGAAAGUUUUCAUCGGUCAGGGGUGGAGAUGCGUCUGAUUAGCUUGUUGGCAAGGUAACGGCCCACCAAGGCUACGAUCAGUAGGGGUUCGGAGUGGAAGGUCCCCCACAUUGGAACUGAGACACGGACCAAAAUGCGACGGGAGGGAGCGGUGAGGAAGAUUAGUCGAUGGAGGAGGACCUGAACCAGCCGAGUAGCGUGCAGAAAGACGGGCCUAUGGGAUGUAAACUGCUUUUAUGCGGGGAUAACGUGAGGGACGUGUCCCUCAUUGCAGGUACCGAAUGAAUAAGGACCGGCUAAUUCCGUG